rnacentral:rRNA from 1 species
ACGCACGCUGGCGGCAUGCCUAACACAUGCCAGUCGCACGAGACCUUCGGGUCUAGUGGCGCACGGGUGCGUAACGCGUGGGAACCUGCCCUUAGGCUCGGAAUAACUCCCCGAAAGGGGUGCUAAUACCGGAUAAUGUCUUCGGACCAAAGAUUUAUCGCCUUUGGAUGGGCCCGCGUUGGAUUAGCUAGUUGGUAGGGUAAAAGCCUACCAAGGCGACGAUCCAUAGCUGGUCUGAGAGGAUGAUCAGCCACACUGGGACUGAGACACGGCCCAGACUCCUACGGGAGGCAGCAGUGGGGAAUAUUGGACAAUGGGCGAAAGCCUGAUCCAGCAAUGCCGCGUGAGUGAUGAAGGCCUUAGGGUUGUAAAGCUCUUUUACCCGGGAUGAUAAUGACAGUACCGGGAGAAUAAGCUCCGGCUAACUCCGUG